ACCAGUGUGGUGCAGUGGUUUGAGUGUUGGACUAUGACUCUGGAGGCCAAGGUUUUAUUCCUUGCUCAGCCU